CGCGUGGGAAUAUGCCCUUCUCUACGGAAUAGCCUCGGGAAACUGAGAGUAAUACCGUAUACGCCUUCGGGAAGGAUUAUCGAGAAGGGAUAGCCGCGUUAGAUUAGAUAGUUGGUGGGGUAAGUGGCCUACCAAGUCUACGAUCUAUAGCUGGUUUUAGUAGGACGAUCAGCCACACUGGGACUGAGACACGGCCCAGACUCCUACGGGAGGCAGCAGUGGGGAAUCUUAGACAAUGGGCGAAAGCCUGAUCUAGCCAUGCCGCGUGAGUGAUGAAGGUCUUAGGAUCGUAAAGCUCUU
rnacentral:rRNA from 1 species